rnacentral:lncRNA from 1 species
CAAACCAUAGUUCCUGUCCAAAGUCUCCUUUGAUCCAACACAACCUCUUUUGUUUUGUAUUGCAAAACCAAUCACACCAUUGAGAAAUGUUACGUGCUACAUUAUUAUCCUUCUCAUUUAAAGUUCACAGAGAAUACUGGUGACCCUGAGAAUACUGGUCCAAGGAAGACAGCAUCACAUGCUGAAUUGAGACUUCUGGUUGUGGUCAUACAGGUGCACAAUCUGAGGUUCUAGUUUAUCUGGUGUUCCUAACCUGCCAGUCUUUGUUGCUAGUCUGACUAAAGAUCAGUACUUCCACAUACUGUCCCACUUGCAG